UUCCGGUUGAUCCUGCCGGACCCGACUGCUAUUUGGGUGAGGAUAAGCCAUGCGAGUUGAAUGGGAAACCUAAAGUUCUCAUGGCAAACUGCUCAGUAACACAUGAUCAACUUACCCUAUAGAGAAAAAUAACCUCGGGAAACUGAGGAUAAUGUUUCAUAGUUGAAUUGGCUUGGAAAAGUUUUUCGACGAAAGGGGUAAAAAAAAUGGUUUUUAUCUGCUAUAGGAUAGGAUCGUGUUCGAUUAUGGUUGUUGGUGAGGUAAUGGCUCACCAAGCCGAUAAUCGAUAGGGGCCGUGAGAGCGGGAGCCCCGAGAUGGGUACUGAGACAACGACCCAGGCCUUACGAGGCGCAGCAGGCGCGAAACCUCCGCAAUACACGAAAGUGUGACGGGGUUACCCAAAGUGUUCAAUUUUGAACUGCGGUAGGUGAGUAAUGUUCCCUACUAGAAAGGAGAGGGCAAGGCUGGUGCCAGCCGCCGCGGUAAAACCAGCUCUUCAAGUGGUCGGGAUAAUUAUUGGGCUUAAAGUGUCCGUAGCCGGUUUAGUAAGUUCCUGGUAAAAUCGGGUAGCUUAACUAUCUAUAUGCUAGGAAUACUACUAUACUAGAGGGCGGGAGAGGUCUGAGGUACUGCAGGGGUAGGGGUGAAAUCUUAUAAUCCUUGUUGGACCACCAGUGGCGAAGGCGUCAGACUGGAACGCGCCUGACGGUGAGGGACGAAAGCCAGGGGAGCGAACCGGAUUAGAUACCCGGGUAGUCCUGGCCCGUAAACGAUGCAUACUAGUGAUGGCACGGGCCAUGAGCCGUGUCAGUGCCGUAGGGAAACCGUUAAGUGUGCCGCCUGGAAGUACGUCGCAAGGCUAAACUUAAAGGAAUUGGCGGGGAGCACCACAGGGUGAGCUGCGUUCAUGGAAUCACGCCG
rnacentral:rRNA from 1 species